CCAUGCGUUCGGCCACAGGAGAGCUCUUCAAUUGUGGUUGCUUCCAUUGUAGCGAGGUAUUCGUUUAUGCGCCUCUUCUUUAGUCAAAGUCUUCACUACGUCCAUAAUAGCGACAGUGAAUCUAUUUUCCGCUGUCAGCUCCGAUCAGGAUCAGUUUAGGCCACCAAGUUGGGACUUAGACACGAGUGGGAAGCUCCUUGGUGAAUCAUAAUAACUUUACCAAUCGCAUGGCCUUGCGCCGGUGAUGGUUCAGUCAACUUUCUGCCCUAUCAACUCUCGAUGGUAGGAUAGUGGCCUACCAUGGUGGCAACGGGCAACGGGGAAGUAGGGUUCGAUUCCGGAGAGGGGAGCUUGAGAAACGGCUACCACAUUCAAGGAAGGCAGCAGG
rnacentral:ncRNA from 1 species